rnacentral:rRNA from 1 species
GAGCGGUAACAGGUGUAGCAAUACAUGCUGACGAGCGGCGAACGGGUGAGUAAUGCUUCGGAAUCUACCUUAUGGUGGGGAAUAACUAGCCGAAAGGUUAGCUAAUACCGCAUACGUCCUACGGGAGAAAGCAGGGGAUCGCAAGACCUUGCGCCAAAAGAUGAGCCGAAGUCGGAUUAGCUAGUUGGUAGGGUAACGGCCUACCAAGGCGACGAUCCGUAGCUGGUCUGAGAGGACGACCAGCCACACUGGGACUGAGACACGGCCCAGACUCCUACGGGAGGCAGCAGUGGGGAAUAUUGGACAAUGGGGGAAACCCUGAUCCAGCGACGCCGCGUGUGUGAAGAAGGCCUGCGGGUUGUAAAGCACUUUUAGUGGGGAUGAAAUGUGCAGGGUUAAUACCUCUGCAUUUUGACCUAACCCACAGAAAAAGCACCGGCUAACUCUGUG